UGGAACCAGACAGCAUUGAAGUCUGUUUUCACAACAGCUAUGAUAUGUUGUCUUCCUUUCAUAAAUCAGAAAACUGAUCCUUAGAGGAACUAAUUGACCAAGUCACACCACUAAAAACCAGGACUCAGCAGCAGAGCCGCCUACCUUUGGAUGUGGUGUCCCCGUAUUGGACAGUCCAGUGCCUCAAGGGAAGAAUGGGUCAGAGUGUCAAAGAAUCUGUAUUUGCCCAAGUUCCAGGAGAAAACAAGGAACAUCCUCAAAACAGUCAACUGGAGAGAGUUUGCUGAAGGCACUAAAUUCAGAGAUGUGGUAGAACUAGGAGGCAGCUGGGGAUGGAAACGCACCCUGGGGAGCCAUUACCACCCCUAGGUCUACAGGGCUGGGAAAGGUGCCUUCCGUCACUGAACCUCACAGGAAUCAGAAAGCAGGAGUGGCCAAGUGACAGUGCCUUUGGAGGUCAGCAUUCCAGAGAGCAAGCUGGACAGAGCAUGAAUCUGGGGACAGAGGAGGAUCAGGGAUACGUAGUCAGAAAAAAAUAAAAAAUGUAAGGACAAUAAUCUUACAACUGGCCGAGACUUAUAUCAAACUAAUCUUAUAAUUCAUCAACCAAUACAAGUUAUUUUAAAAAAUGGCUGGGCAUGGUAGCUCACACCUGUAAUCCUAGGACUUUGGGAGGUCAAGGUGGGCAGAUCACUUAAGGUCAGGAAUAUCAGACCAGCCUGGCCAACAUGGCAAAACCCCAUCUCUACUAAAAAGAAAAAAUUAACCUGGCGUGGUGGCACAUGCCUGUAACUGCAGCUACUCGGGAGGCUGAGGCAGGAAAAUCACUUGAACCUGGGAGGCGGAGGUUGCAGUAAGCUGAGAUCACACCACUGUACUCCAGCCUGGGCAACAGAGCAAGACUCCAUGUCAAAAUAAUAAAAAAAAAAGAAAAGAAAAGAGGCUAUUAUUAAUCAUUACACCAAGUCUACAGGCAAACCCAGAACUGCAUGGCUACUCAACUUUUCUCAUCUAUUUCAAUGCAAACAGUUACCCCCAGUUUGCAAAUGGGGAAACUAAAGAGGCCUGCACAGGUCAA